GAUGAACGCUGGCGGCGUGCCUAAUACAUGCAAGUCGAGCGAACAGACGAGGAGCUUGCUCCUCUGACGUUAGCGGCGGACGGGUGAGUAACACGUGGAUAACCUACCUAUAAGACUGGGAUAACUUCGGGAAACCGGAGCUAAUACCGGAUAAUAUAUUGAACCGCAUGGUUCAAUAGUGGAAGACGGUUUUGCUGUCACUUAUAGAUGGAUCCGCGCCGCAUUAGCUAGUUGGUAAGGUAACGGCUUACCAAGGCGACGAUGCGUAGCCGACCUGAGAGGGUGAUCGGCCACACUGGAACUGAGACACGGUCCAGACUCCUACGGGAGGCAGCAGUAGGGAAUCUUCCGCAAAGGGCGAAAGCCUGACGGAGCAACGCCGCGUGAGUGAUGAAGGUCUUCGGAUCGUAAAACUCUGUUAUUAGGGAAGAACAAAUGUGUAAGUAACUAUGCACGUCUUGACGGUACCUAAUCAGAAAGCCACGGCUAACUACGUG
rnacentral:rRNA from 1 species